GGUGACAACGGUGGGAGGAGUGGAGUCCCCUGUCCACUACAGCCUUGUGAUGUGAGAACACCUCACAGAUUUACCUGGUUUUGGAUCUUACUACAGACAUAUCUACUGGGUUGAUUAGUAUAGAAGGGGACAACCAGCAUUGUUAAAAAACGACUCAAGAGAUUCCUAAAGCUACUCAUCUUUAAAAACAACCAUUUCAGUGUUCCUGGAGCCCUGAGGCAAGGGAUUUGAUGGAGAAAUCUGUCUUACAGCCGAGUGUUCCAAGAUCUCUUACCCUCUCUGCAUUAUGUCUGACCAUGGAUCUCUGUAUUUGUUCCCAUCUGCUGCGGGAGGAAGCUUCUCUGAUGAUGAAAUUAUAACCUCCGAGACACCUGAUAGUUGACUCUCACAGCAUUUGAUGAAUAAGUGAUGCUCAUUUAACACCUAAGGAUUUGAUUUUCACGAGUGUGAGUAAAACAAGUUGUGGAAUAGUUGACCUGAAGUGAAAGUCAUAGUCAAAACUAUUUAAAGGCAUGUACAUGGUUCGUGGGACUUUUGAUAAUUCAUACAUCUACCAUGUUAGAAUUUCAGGGAGAUUGACAGGGGAACAAAUGGAAUGGUAAUUCUGAAAUCCGUAUUAUUAAGGAUUUCUGUUUUUAUUUAGUGUGUAUGUUCAUGAGCACAUGCUUGGGCCAUGUUUGUGCCAUGGCUCAUUUGUGGAG